AUUUCCCACUAUUUGCUCGACAGAAAAAUCCAUUUGCUUAAUCGUAGCAUCAUUCCCAUUGUCAUUUCUUACAAAGAAGGUAUUUCUCUAAUUCCAUCGCCCUUCGUUCUCUGAGCUGUUCAUCUUUCUCUGGCUUGCAUUCUUUUAUUUAUCGGGAAACCGUAUAUUGGUUCGAUGAUCGGUGUAAGGAAAUGAGUAUUUUCGCUAAAUCUUUCGAUCCUGUGUAGCUUCAUUUUCAUUUGAUAUAUUCUAGGUUGUUUCAUUUAUUGUUUAUUUUAUUUUAUUUUUUAAUUUUUUUGGUUUCUUCUCUUGCUCUGAACUUUCGAUUUGUCAGGAAAAGGAAGAUUUUUGGGUAAGUCUUUCGAUUCUGUACCAUUUAUUGACAUUCUGAUGAUUUGAUUGAAUGUUAGUAAUGUUCUGUGAUGUUUCGAUCUUCUAUCAGAUGGGGAUAUUCGUUGGGUCUGGCUGAUAGUUUUUAUUUUGGGCUUCAGGCGUUGAAUUAUGGUUUUGGAUGUAUGUUUAUGGUAUAGGGAUUGGGCUUUGAAGAUGAGAAGCCUAUGCAUGUGUGGUAAUUAAGGUGAAUGCAGCAAGUGUAGGCAAAUGGAUAUAGGUUCUGUUGGUAUAUUAUGUAGUAAAUGAAGAGGUUGUGACGAUGAGAUAUUGAAAAUUUGAUUUGAGCGUGGUAAGUUUCAUCCUGUAUCUUAUCGUGGCAACCUGGACGGUCAGGCAAAACUAGUCGUUGUCCCUACUGCUUGUGCAUCAAUGAUAAGCAACCAUGGUAGGGCCGAUUUAUUCUUCGCCGAUGAAUGGAAUGUGUGUAUUUGAGCCAAUAAUUCUUUUUUCCAUUCGAUGUAGCAUGUUUGGCUGCGGAUGUGGCAUCUAGUCAUUCCUAAACAGGUUGGCAAAUUAAAACUAUCGAGUAAUAUUUGCAACUUAGUAGUGGCUAAUGUGAUAUUUGCAGCUUUGAAGGAAAGUUAAGAAAGAAACAAUCAUUCCUGACCCAUAUUAUUGUAUCCCAGCAAUCCGCCCGAUAUCAUUUUAGAGUACGAUUUUUUUUCUUUUGCUUUCCAAUAUGUACUCUUUAUUUUAUUUGAGAUUAAGCGUUAUCGCAAAAUGCCGUUUAAAGUUAAACUGAGUUAUAUUAAGAUAUAUGAACCACUAUUCACUU
rnacentral:lncRNA from 1 species